AUAAUGAUACUUCCGUCCAGUCACAGCGCCCCUUGACCGGAGAAUCAGGCAAUGAGGGCGGCUCUAUGAGAACCACAGAGGGAUGAGAUUUCCAUGA
ncrna:unclassified sequences pemK RNA